rnacentral:rRNA from 1 species
CCUACGGGAGACAGCAGUAGGGAAUCUUUCACAAUGGGCGAAAGCCUGAUGGAGCAACGCCGCGUGCAGGAUGAAGGCCUUCGGGUUGUACACUGCUUUUAUAAGCGAGAAAUAUGAUGGUAACUUAUGAAUAAGGAUCGGCUAACUACGUGCCAGCAGCCGCGGUCAUACGUAGGAUCCGAGCAUUAUCCGGAGUGACUGGGUGUAAAGAGUUGCGUAGGUGGCAUAAUAAGUAGCUAGUGAAAUCUGGUGGCUCAACCAUUCAGACUAUUAGCUAAACUGUUAAGCUCGAGACCGUUAGGGGUAACUGGAAUUUCUAGUGUAGGAGUGAAAUCCGUAGAUAUUAGAAGGAACACCAAUAGCGUAGGCAGGUUGCUGGGACGGUUCUGACACUAAGGCACGAAAGCGUAGGGAGCAAACGGGAUUAGAUACCCGGGUAGUC